AGAUCAAAACUGUUCUGAAGUAGCAUUUACAUAUUUUUUGAGUUUUUUCUUUAUUAAGAGAAAGUAUCAGUAAUUCUCAUGCAGAGCAUUUACUCAAGUUAAACUUUUUUUUUAAUAGAAUUUGUAAGUUCUCUUGUGCCUCUGCAACCUCCACCUCCUGGGUUCAAGUGAUUCUCCUGCCUCAGCCUCCCGAGUAGCUGGGACUACAGGUGCCUGCCACCACUCCUGGCUAAUUUUUGUAUUUUUAAUGGAGACGGGAUUUUACCAUGUUGGCUAGGCUGGCCUUGAACUCCUGACCUCAAGCAAUUGCCCGCCUUGGUCUCUCAAAGUGCUGGGAUUAUAGGCGUGAACCACCAUGCCUGGCCUCUUAUGCCAAAUUUUUAUGGAAUAUGUUAAAGGGCAGUAAACAUCUGUGAAGGAAUACAGAGAAUGGAUAGAUGUAUAUCUUGAAAAUACAAUCCCCGUCCCCAUGGUUAUAAAGAAAAUGCAUGUCCAAUAUAGAAAAUUGGGAACAAUGUAGAAAACAAGAAGAAAAAGAAGUCCCUUGCAGUCUCCUAUUCUGAGCCACUGUUAACGUGCCAAGUGUGUUCUCUCAGUCUUUUUCUGGGUAAGAUAGGGGUAUUUUAUCUGGUAACUUUCACUCAGGUUCUAGGAUUUGUUUACAGUGUCGGGUUUACUGUCUUUUGGGUUCAAUGUCUGACCCUCUUGAAGUCAUUACAGACCUUGGAGACUAUUUUUAGCCAUUUUCCCCCAUUGGUGUUUCUAAGUACUGACCAUUCUUUCUGCAUCAAAGCUAGAUGUGGGCGCUUUCUUUGGUUGUAUAGAUUGUGUUUUUCUGUUGUGUGUGGCAUUUCUUCUGCCUUGUGCCUUAAGUGGUUGUGUUCCUUGACAUACUACUAUGUUGCCCAGGCUGGUCUUGAACUCCUGGGCUCAAACGAUCCUCCUGCCUUGGCCCCCUGAAGUGUUGGGAUUACCAUUCCCAGCCUCUUUUUCCUGGUUCUAACUCUUUUCUGACAGUGUGACGUCAGCUUCCAUUAUCUUCAGUGUGUCUAGUGGGUUGCUCAGUUAACUGACUUAUUUAUUUAUUGUAUUCAUUCUCCCAGCCACAUCCUCCAUCUCCUCCUCCUGCCAUCCCCUCCCUCCCACCACCGCCUGCCUAUGCUAUGCUGUAGCUCCCCAGUCUGUGCUCCUGUUCCCUGGGCCCAGGGCUCAAUUUUUGGACAGCUUCUCUCUUCUUUCUGCCUUUAGAGAUCUCACAUAAUUUUAUGAUUUUAAAUACCAUGCCCCAAAUGUAUAUAUCCCUAGCUUGGAUCUGUCCCCAGAAUACUAGACUUUUAUGUCUGUCUACUCCGUAUCUCCUUUUAAGUAUCUGGAAGACCGUUUCUGCUUUUGCCUAAAACUGAACAUCUGAUCUUCCCAGACCUGCCCUUCCAGACCCAUUGAUCUCACUGCGCAGGCUGAAAGCCCUGGGCUUCUCCCCACUCUUCUGUUUCUUGCGUCUCUCUUGAAUCCCUCAGCAGAUCUGGUGGCCAUGUCUUCUAAAUAGAGAGUCCGGCCGCCUCUCCUUGCUCUGCCUCCGUCCUGGUCCAGGUCUCGUCCCACACCUGCCUCGCCUGGCUGGGCCCCUGCUCCUGCCUCUGUCUUAGCCUGGUCUCUUCUCCUGGCAUCCAGAAUGAUCUGCAGGAAGCCACAGUCAGAUCAUUUCAUUCCUGUACUCAAGACCCUCCAGGGGCUUCCUGUUUUCCUCAGCAAAAGCCCUGUGGAGCCGCACAAUGGGCCUGUGGCCCUCGUCAUUUCUCUGAGCUGUGUUACUACGUCCCUGCCCGGUGGUGCUGGCCUCCUCGAGUCUCCUGACUGUGCUUCUGUGUGUACUCCUCUGCUUGGAAGUCUCUUCUCCCAGUGGCCAUGGGGCUCGCGUCCUCACCUCCUGCAUUUUUUUUUCCAUUUACCCUAACUUGAAGCUCACCUGCACAUCUUUAUGCUCAGAUGUCACCUUCUCGGGGAGGUCUUCCUUACCCAUCCUAUGUGAGAUCACAGUGCCCAAGCCCACCCUCCCUCCCUACCGCCUCCUCAUCCUGCGUCUGUUAUUUAUAGCACUUACCUCUACCUGGCGUACUUUCUUUGUUUCUUUCGCUGUCAAGUUGAAUAUAAGUUUAAGUUCCCUUCCCCUCCCAGGUCAGGGAUUUUUGUCAGUUUUCUUCACUGCUGUAUCCCUAGCACCUAUAAUAGUGCCUAUUCAGUUUUUAUAGAAUUCUGUUUUGUUGGAUACUUGUAAAUACAGGGUGAUUCUUAUUAUUUACAGUAGUUAUGCUUCAUAAAGUCACUGAGGGCUGAGCACAGUGGCUCAUGCCUGUAAUCUCAGCAGUUUCGGAGGCCAAGGCAGGUGGAUCACCUGAGGUCAGGAGUUUGAGACCAGCCUGACCAACAAGGAGAAACCCCCCGUCUCUACUAAAAAUACAAAAAUUAGCCGAGUGUGGUGGCGCAUGCCUGUAAUCCCAACUACUCGGGAGGCGGAGGCACGAGAAUUGCUUGAACCCAGGAAGUGGAGGUUGCAGUGGGCUGAGAUUGUGCCAUUGCAUUCUAGCCUGGGCAAAAAGAGAGAGUCUCUGUUUCAAAAAAAAAAAAAAAAGUUACUGAAAUCUCUGAAUUAUCAACUAUGGAAAAACUCACUGCUCCUAGGGGAAGUACAGGAGUUGAGUCGUUUACAUUGAGCUCCCAGCCAGCAGCUCUGUGACUCGAGCCUGAACAAAGUGUCCCUAACACACGCCACAUCUCCGUCAGGCACAUCACAGCCGUCUUGUGCUCAGGACACCAGACUGUACCUCAGCCCUACACUUGGGGCCGUUUAUACCGUGAAAUCACCAAAAAAAGCACAGAAGUGUGAAAAACAUGAUACCAAACAGACUCUGAAAAGGACACUUGGUGAUAGUCUGAGAGCAGAGAUGGGAAGGGAGGGCCUCACCUUGUUGGACUUUGCCUGGGAACGUGGGUGUCGGGUGCCUAAAAUUUUUGGCUGCUCUGCCCAUGACUGGAAGCGCUCCGUGGAUUGGUUUGGGGCUGUUAUUACAAGUAGGUGAAUUUGUGAUUACAGAAUCCUCAAAUAAGGAGGAUUGACUGUAUUGAAUGAGUGAAUGAAUGAACACUUUGACAGUGUUUGAGCUGCCGAAGUUGUAGAAGUUUAUACACACAGAAGUAACACUUAUCCUUAUUCAUUCUUUGUAGGGGGAAGUCAUAAAAUGGUAUGUCUUUUUAAUAUCCUUUUGGGGAGAGCAGAUUGGCCACAAGGUUAAGAAGAUAUGUGAUUGCUACCACUGCCACGUGUACCCCUAUCCAAACACAGCCGAGGAGCGGAGGGAGAUCCAGGAGGGGCUGAACACCCGCAUCCAAGAUCUCUACACUGUACUGCACAAAACCGAGGACUAUUUGAGGCAAGUGCUAUGUAAAGCCGCCGAGUCUGUCUACAGCCGUGUGAUCCAGGUGAAGAAAAUGAAGGCCAUCUAUCACAUGCUGAACAUGUGCAGCUUUGACGUGACCAACAAGUGCCUCAUUGCUGAGGUCUGGUGUCCUGAGGCGGAUCUGCAGGACCUGCGCUGGGCGCUGGAGGAGGGCUCGAGAGAGAGUGGUGCUACAAUCCCCUCAUUCAUGAAUAUAAUCCCCACAAAAGAAACACCCCCCACUCGGAUCCGCACCAACAAAUUCACCGAGGGAUUUCAGAACAUCGUGGAUGCUUAUGGAGUCGGAAGCUACAGAGAAGUCAAUCCAGCUCUCUUUACCAUCAUCACCUUCCCGUUUUUAUUUGCUGUGAUGUUUGGAGACUUCGGACAUGGCUUUGUGAUGUUUUUAUUUGCCCUCUUGUUGGUGUUAAAUGAAAAUCAUCCCAGACUAAAUCAGUCACAAGAGAUCAUGAGGAUGUUUUUUAAUGGCCGGUACAUCCUCCUGCUGAUGGGGCUGUUCUCAGUGUACACUGGCCUCAUCUACAACGACUGCUUUUCAAAGUCAGUCAACCUGUUCGGCUCCGGGUGGAACGUGUCGGCCAUGUACAGCUCCAGCCACCCGCCCGCAGAGCAUAAGAAGAUGGUGCUUUGGAACGACAGCGUUGUCAGGCACAACAGCAUUUUGCAGCUGGAUCCAAGCGUUCCUGGAGUGUUCCGAGGCCCUUAUCCCCUUGGC
rnacentral:sRNA from 1 species